ACAUGGAAAUAACUGAAGAACAGUGGUUCUCUUUCCUUGUAGGUGUGUGUGUGCGCGCACACGCGCAUGGUUUGUUGCUGAUAUUUAUAAUGGGUUGUUUGCAGGACAAGCCCGAGCCACCUCCAGAAAGGUUGUCUUCCUGAUGCCACCCAAGGAUAUGACCACCUAAAUUAGGUGUUCUCCACCCAGAUGGGUUCGAGUGAUCAGGACACUGACGCGGGGCGUGAGGAGAUGAAGAGGGCAGAUACAUGAGGAGGAGGACCAGGGGGCAGCAUCUUUUAUAAGAGAAAUGUAUUGUAAUAGUAGGCAGUAUUAGGUAUAUUUGGGUUGUGGUGUAGUGUAAAGAUUGUAAUAGACAAAUUUAAUGUUGGUUUGGACGAAUUUCA